CACGGCUGAGAAAGGAGAAAGGAAAAGAAAGAAAGAGAGGAAGAGAGAAGGAAGAAGAAGAAGAAGGAAAAGGAGGGUUUUGCGCCACGCGAACCUCGCCUAGCCGAUCCGACUUCGUAUCGCAACGCCCGGAUUACAAGAUCGUCGGUUCGAGUGAGCGUCAUUAUAUGAUUUUUGGGGAUUCAGGUGAGUGGCCAAAUCCUUGAGAGCAAUGGUAGUGCGGCUGCAGCUCAAAAAGGAUAGUAUCGGGUCGGGUUGAGGGAUGGCAGUGCGGCUGCGCCUCUACCCCGAACGAG